UACGAAGGGGGCUAGCGUUGCUCGGAAUCACUGGGCGUAAAGCGCACGUAGGCGGAUUGUUAAGUCAGGGGUGAAAUCCUGGAGCUCAACUCCAGAACUGCCUUUGAUACUGGCGAUCUCGAGUCGGGAGAGGUGAGUGGAACUGCGAGUGUAGAGGUGAAAUUCGUAGAUAUUCGCAAAGAACACCAGUGGCGAAGGCGGCUCACUGGCCCGGUACUGACGCUGAGGUGCGAAAGCGUGGGGAGCAAACAGG
rnacentral:rRNA from 1 species